rnacentral:lncRNA from 1 species
CUAAGUCAUAGAGUUUGUAUUAGGAUUGUGAGAAAAAUGUAAUUUUUCUUUUAUUGGAUCGAUCAUGCAGGAGAUUGUCGUUUAGUGAUUGCGAUGAUCUUCCUUUUAUUGUUUCUGAGUUGUGUUCGAGCGUUGUAUUAUGUUUUGUCACGAAAUCGCCAAAGGGGGAGAUUGUUAAGGAUUUUCUAGGUUGGCGGAUUUCGUGAAGUCGAAUGGAGUCUUGAAGAGUUGAUCACGGAGGUUUGAAGAGAAGAUUUA